CGGUUACUACUCUACCAUUCUCCACCCAGCUAUAAUGAACUACUUCUUUUGCGCUGGUUCCUCUUCUUCAGAUCUCAUGGCCUUUCUUCAUACAACAGAUCUAAGUUCUUCUUCUGGGCUCUGUGGAAUGUGGAAUACUCAGAGACAGGAUCCAUCAGCCUGGUUCCAAGCACCAGUGUCUCCAGAGUCAUCACUGCAGUAACUACGGCGCUCACCACAGUGCUGAGCACGAAGGAGGCCUCCUAAAUCCUGACCUAAAUCCUAAAUCCUGGUUAAUCAGCCCACCUCCCAACGUGUCGCACACAUUGCCUGAGCCACGGGCACCGACUUGCCAGCGCUCUGUACUUUGACGUUCACAUAGUCAUCCUUGGAGCUCACACCAACCCUGGGAGACUCUUGGAACAGGAACGCUUGGCUAUUCCUCCUCACGGAUGAGUUCGUAAAUCCUACUAGUGAUAAGAUUCGAGUAUAAACCUAGGACUUCUGACUCUUUCAUCCAGCCGACCUUCUUGCCCACUCUGUUUUCUUUUAUGAAUCCGUGGUCCCUGCCUUCCGUUCUCCUUCUCACUCACAGCCAUCUAUCAAUGUCUCACAGUUCAGUAAAUUGAUACUCAAACCACAGGUAUCUUCUGAGUGUUGCAGAGAUUGUGCAUGGGAGGUGAUCAGAGAAGUUUGCUUUUCCAUCCCUCCUCUGCAAUCAGGGCCGGCUUCCUAGGCAUGAGACCAGUGCAGUCACACAGCGUCCCACUCUUAGGAGAGAGUCUCACGUGUGCUUGAUUGCUCUGCAGUCACCCUCUUGAAAUUCGUAAUAAUUUUUAAACAAGGGACCACACGUUUUCAUUUUGGACUGAGCCCCACAAAUUAUAUCACCAGUUCUGUGUGCAACAAAGAUACGGUGAGCUUCCAUAUACAUUUGCAAAUUGGAGGGAGAAUAGAAGUCCCUUUUCUUAUUGGCCAAUCAAACCCUGGGCAUUUAUUCUAAGUUAGUAUUGUAUCAGCUUUAGCCUCUAUAAAACCAGGUUGAAAAAAUAAAUAAAUAAAACAAGGUUGAUUUCUCUGAUCA
rnacentral:lncRNA from 1 species